AUUGAACGCUGGCGGCAGGCCUAACACAUGCAAGUCGAACGAGCGGCGGACGGGUGAGUAAUGUAUGGGGACUGCCCGGUAGAGGGGGAUAACUACUGGAAACGGUGGCUAAUACCGCAUACUAUCGGAGGGCCCAUAUGGGAUUAGCUAGUUGGUGGGGUAAAGGCUCACCAAGGCGACGAUCCGUAGCUGGUCUGAGAGGAUGAUCAGCCACACUGGGACUGAGACACGGCCCAGACUCCUACGGAGGCAGCAGUGGGGAAUGUUGCACAAUGGGCGCAAUCCUGAUCCAGCCAUCCCGCGUGUAUGAAGAAGGCCUUAGGGUUGUAAAGUACUUUCAGCAGGGAAGCGGUACCCGCAGAAGAAGCACCGGCUAACUCCGUGCCAGCAGCCGCGGUAAUAC
rnacentral:rRNA from 1 species